rnacentral:lncRNA from 1 species
UUUGAGAGAAGGAUAAAACUUUGAAGGAGGUGGGAGGGGGGAGUUGCACGGUGCUGGGAGUGAAAGACAACGUGAGAAAGAGAAAGUGAAAGUAGGUUAAAAUUAUAUUUUAAUUUUUUAAUAUUUUUUACUGAAGGGUAUAAUAGUAAGUGUGCUUUUAGUAUGGAGUGCCGGAAGAAGCCGUGGAGGUGCAGGAAGAAGCUAUCCAGUUAUGAAAGUUUGCUAAACAGUCGUAGCUUAACAAAAGUGGCCCAAAUAAGAGAGUGAACAAAUGAGCCCAAAUAAGUCCAAAGAGGACAUUUCAAUGUGUCGUGUUUCAUAUACUAAAAGUUUAUUUCUAGGCAAUUGCUUCCUGCACCAUAUCAUUGCACCCAAUCACAGGGGAAAUAUCGAAAAUACCCUUAAAAAAAUGGGGUACAUAUAAAAUUACAUUCCGGACCCCUUUUUCUGGAACACAAUAAUCUCUUCCAGAUAAUUUUUUCUGGAAUGUAUUAUUUUCAGUUCCGGAUUUUUUUAUCCAGAAUGAAAUUUUGAUUUUUUUUCCGGAUUUUUAUAUCCGAAACACAAAAACCUCUUCCGAAUAUUUUUGUCUGAAAUGUAUUAUUUUCAAUUCCAGAUUUUUAUUUUUGGAAUAAGGGGUAUUUUUGCAAUUUUUGAAAUUAUGUUGGGUGUAGGUUCAAAAGUGUUGGGUGCAGGGAACAUUUCCCUUAUUUCUAUAAUAACAAUGUAAUAUUUUUUUAGAGAAAAGUUUAUUUGACACCCUGAACAGUAAAAAACAUACAUUUAAUAUUAUUUGUAAUAAUAUAAUAAUAUUUUAACUUAAAAAAUAAAAUAAUAAUGAAUAAAAUAUUAAUUUAUCAAGGUAAGGUGUGAAGUGCUAUGUUUUUACGGUUUACAAUAUUAAUAUAUCACCAUCCUAAUUUUUAAUGUCUAUGACAAAAUUUGAAAAAUAAAUUUGAGAAUUGUAUCUCUGAAGAAAAAAAAAAUCCACGUUAUUGUAUUUGUUAAAUUUUUAUUUUCAUAAAAAGAAGUUAUGUGAAACAAUGAAUUAAUUAUGACCUCCAUUGUUAUAAACACCUCUUAACACCACUAAAUUUUGUAAGAAUCAAAUGAAGGUUUAGUUCACCUUUACCAGAAUAUUAGAACUUUUAUUAUUCCUUUCCACCCAAACUAGUAAUAUGUUUAAUAAAAUGUUUGUUUCUUUUGAUAAAAAUUGAAGUGGAAAAUCAAUAAAUAACUUGAGAUAGAAAUGUGAAUAAUGUCGUUUUUUCAUUUUUUAUGUUUUUACCAAUAUAAUGAGUUAUCACAUGUUUUAGAUAAAUUAACCUUAAAAAGUUUAUAAUUUAUUUUACAUUUGAUAUGUAUUAUCAUCUCAAUAUUAUAACUUGAUUGAAAUGUUAGAUGUGUCACGAGAAAAUGAGUUUAUUCCUUUUUUGAAGAUGCAAACAAAGGAAAUAUGGCAACAAAGAAGACAAUUAUUUCACAACUAAACAUUGAUCAAAUCUUUCAUACAAUAUGGUGUGAUAAGAUUCUUGAUUUACAUUGAAAUUGAACAAAAACAAGGGCAUGGGACAUUCUCCACUCAUUUGUUCUGCUACAAUUCUCAUGACUUAUUUUUUCCCUUUAUAUUAAGACCACCUCAGAAGCCAUUCAAGCUUUCCUAUAAUACAAAAGUCCGAGGCCAAUUCCAAAUAUCAUUCCACAUCCAUAUCCUAUAACCACUGAUUCCCAUCCAAAUCCAAAUCUCUCUUCUCCCAAUAAGCUCGGAGAAAAUGGAGAUUUUUGUAUAGUGUUGUUGCAAUUCAUUGACAAUGGGAAUCCAUAUAAUCCCGAGUUUCCAAGGUAUGAGUCAUUUGAAAAAGUCGCAAACUGUUUUCCUUGAGGUAUUUCUCCCACAAGCAGGUUAUUGGAAAGAUUCAGGACUUCAAGAGAGUUCAAAUUGGUUAAUUCUGUUGGAAUCCUACCGAUGAACAUAUUCGAAGAGAGAUCCAAUGAUUCUAAGUUUGUCAAAUAUCCAAUGGAUUUGGGAAUAAGACCACUUAAUCUGUUAUGGGAAAAGUUGAGUCCUCUAAGAGCAUGAAGCUCUCCAAUCACAUCUGGAAUUUGUCCUUCAAAUUUGUUUUGAGAUAAAUCAAUGGUUACAAAGUUUAUUGGAAUUUUAUUGAGUGUCAUACUUAUUGCUUUUGUUGUUACAGUUACAGAUUCAUAUAUAUGCAUAGCUAUAAAUUCAAUCACAAGAAUCGGGGAUGCUUUAACUAACGUAGGUGAUGUGUCCAUGUAUAUCUCGUCCCCUUCAUAUUGAAUGACAUUCUUCAUGGCUUUAAAAUUUUGUAUAUAGGUUUUGGGUAUUGGACCAUUGAAAUAGUUGGAUGAGAUAUCAAAAAUAAUUAUACUUGAAAAUCCAUGCUCCGUCUUUAAAUCGUCAAUGGGAUCGUACAAUUUGUUGGCUCGCAAAACCAAUACUGUCAACAUUGGUAGAGUUUGAAGCCAAUGGGGAAAUUUAUCCUCAAUUUGAUUGUUGCCAAGAUUCAAGAUCUCCAACUCUGUGCAAUUGGACAAAGAUUUUGGCAAAGGACCUUCCAAUUGGUUGUUAUUGAGAUUCAAAAAAGUGAGAUCAGUAUUCAUUGAAAAGGUAGUUGGUAAAGUGCCAUUUAGUUGGUUAUUUUUUAGAUCCAAAAUAAAAAGGGUUUGCAAGUUUACAAGACAUGAUGGAAUGAUGCCUGUCAACUUAUUGUGAGACAAGACAAGAACUUGAAGAUUACUUACAUUACAAAUUGAGGAAGACAUGUCGCCAAUGAGUAAAUUGAAACUAAUAUCAAGGAACUUGAGGUUGUAGUUCCUUGAGAAUUCGUUCAUUGGAGUUUUCAACAAGUUGUGGGAUAGGUUCAAACUUUGUAAUGAAUCAACUUUGUGUAACCACUCGGGCACUGCUCCAUUCAAUUUGUUAUCGGAUAGAUCAAGAUCUAUCAACAUUGGGAUUUUUCCUGAUAAUUUUGGAAAUUUAGUUAAACCUACAGAAGAUAAAUACAAAAGCUCUAAGUUAGGGGCGUUGGUGAAGAUUGGAGAGUUAUGAAGACCACUAAAGUUAUUUGACGAUAGACAUAAUUGAGUAAGGUUUGCAAGGAUGAAGACUGGUUGUGGAAUAUUUCCCUGUAACUUGUUGUAGCACAAAUACAAAGACUCCAAGGAUUGAGCUAAGAUUGAAGGUGUAUGGCCUGUGAAUUGAUUCUUUGAUAGAUCCAGUUCUUGCAAAAAUGGCAAAGAUAAACACCAAGCAGGAAUUGUCCCAUUCAAUAGGUUGUCUUUGAGGGAUAAAAAAGUUAGAUUUGAAAGCCCGGUUACUUUGCUAGGUAGAGGGCCCUCCAAUCUAUUCUCUGAAAGAUCCAAGUGAAGAAGAUGUUGAAGAUUUGAAAGUGAUGAUGGAAUUUGGCCACUGAAUCGAUUGUUUCGAAGAUCCAAAAAUGUUAGAUGUGGAAGGGUUAAGAUUGAGGAUGGGAUUGAAUCGUUGAGAUAGUUAAUUGAGAGAUCGAGGAAAGUAAGAUGUGUGAAGUUGGAUAAAGAGGCAGGGAUUGUCCCCUCCAACAUGUUCCAUGAAAGAUCCAAUAUAGUGAGAGUAGUAGUACUGCAACUCAAGUUCGGAAACUGCUCGAGAGUAUUACGUGACAACCAUAAGUGUUUAAGUUUUGGUAAACAUAAGAUGUCAGUUUUCAAGUUUUCCUGAACUCCGGUGUAUUUAAGACUAAGAUUAACCAAAGAGGUAGAUAGAUUGAGUGGCCUCAUCGAACUAAAAGUCAUAUUUACAUAAUCCAAAAUAAGCUCCUCUAAAAUUGUUGCAUUUUGGAGGAACUUCUUCCAACUGUUUUCUUUCCACGUUAACAUAGUAAAAGAUAGAUCAAGUGAUUCUAAUUUGGAAAGUUGUGAGAUUUGGGAAGGAAUUUCACCUUCAAGGAAAAAAUUUCUAGACAGAUUAAGGUGUGUGAGGCUCACAAACCCACCAAAGAGAGACGACAAUCGAGAGGAGGAAAAGUCAUUUAAAGCAAGAUUAAGUGAUUGAAGAUGAGAAAGACGAAAAAGAGUAGUGUUUGGAUGGAGUUCACCUGAAAGACCACUGCAGGCGAGAUCAAGACCUAUGAUGUUUCCAGAAAUGGGGUGGCAAGUAACCCCAGACCAUGAGCAACAAUCUGUCGCAUUUUCCCAUGUUACGGUCUUUGGAACAACAUUCUCACAAAGAAAAUCAGAAUCAUUAUCACUGAAAGAGGUCUUGAAUUGGAGCAAGGCAGUUCUCUCAUGAAGAUGACAUAAGGAAUGGGAGGAUGAGAAGUGAAAGAGCAACGAAUGGCAACACAGAAAAAGCAACCACCCCACCCAUGACUCCAUUUGAAGUUGUGUUUAAGGAAAAGUGUUCACUUUGAUUUACUUAAAGCAAUGAAAGAUGAAGAUUUAUAGCCAAAAUAAAAUAGGAUAUGAACAUGAACACUCACAUUCUAAUCCUUUCAUUAAUGUUCCGGCAAAAACGGGGCCAUAUGAAUUGAUAUUUCAUCUUCAAAAUGGAAAACACAUUGGACUUGGGUUUACUAUUCCAACUGCAAGCAUUAAAGAGAUCACAUAACAGAUAAAUAUUUUAAAUAAACAAAAUGAGUUUAAUAUCACAUCAUUUUGUAAGAAUUAGCUACAAAAUCACUUAUUUUAUUUUUUUAUAAAAUUAAUAAAAUAAAAACUUUUCAUCAUAAAAUGCAUGAAAAAACAUGGAUAAUAAAAUUUUUAAAAUGAUGAUAAUUGAACGGUGAAAAGUGUAAUUAAGUAAAUAUUGUAUUCUUCCUUGUAAUCUUUAUCGUGAACAAAAUGCUAUUAUUUUUAUCUUUUUAGAUACAUUUUCUAUUUCUUUUUUUACCAUUUUUAAUUUUUGCAUAUUAUUUAUUUUUCAUCUGUUAACCAUAUAAAGAAUACCAUUUAAAAAAAAAAAAUUAAAGAUAUUGAUUUUAUUUUAUCUUCUUAGUAUAGUUUUAUAGGAUAUGUCGUGUGUUUUAGUUGAGUGUGUGGACUCAAACACUUGAAUUUUAAUACAUUGGGCCCUUUUCACUUUUCUGAACCAAAAGCCAAUGACCCCUUUUGUGAUUAAUAACUUUUAUGAAAGAUGAAGCUUCAAGAAUUAAGAGAAGGAAAUUAAUAACUUUUAAUUAGUUAGCAUUUUGUGUUAAUGGUUUCAUUUAUUUCAAAUUAAAAAAUGAAUUAGUUAAGUUGAGUACAUAAGGAACUUUUACUUGGAGAGUUGAAACUGAUGGUAAGAUAGAUAGAAAAUUAAACACUACAUUAGAAGAAGGAGGAGCAAAUAUAUGUCAAAAUAUACAACAACUUUUAAUUUAACCAAUAGUGACAAUUUAAUUCAAUAUUUUUUAGUGCUUAUGAUCUAUCUUUUAUCUUUUUUUAAGACUUUUGUGGGUGAUAUUUUUAUUAAGUUGAUUUUUGUGACUUGACUGAAAUUUUUUUGAAGAACUUCGAAUAACUACAAGACUGAGAUAAAAGAUAAGAACAGAUAUAUUAAAUAAUUUGUAAUAAAAUUUGUGAUACUUGAUUUGUUUUGGAAUUAGAUUGUUUUGAAAUUUUUAAAAUAAGUUUAUUUUGUUUUAAAAAUAUCUUAAUAAUGUAUUUAUAUUAUUAUCGUCUUUACUUGAAAUUUUUCUGAUCGUAUUAGUAGUGUUGAUAUGAACUUACUUUUGUGAGUUUGAAACUAAAGAAUAUAUAAAAUUUAGGAUCUUUAUGAGAUUGAAGAAAAAAAUAAAAUGUAACAUACUAAAUAUUUUUUAAUAUUGUUUGUGAUUAAAACUCAUAUACAGAAUAAAGAAUAUUUUGUACAUAUAUGUGUUUCAAUGUAUACAUAAUUAAUAAGCAUCAAACUCAUUCAAAAAGUCUACUCAUGCAUUCAUAUUCAUAUUGUGUUACACAUUGUACAUAAUAUAAACCUUCAAACAUACAUGCAUUCAAAUUCAUAUUGUGUUACACUUCAUAUUCAAAUUGUUUUUAUAUAUGAUAUAUGAAAUUACAAAUGUUAGUUGCUUAAUUUAAAUGUCUUUUUAUCAUUUUUUACUGAAAGUUAUUAAAACAGGUUUUAUUUAUCAUUCUUUUUAUUGAUAAUUAUUAAGAACAAAUUUUAUUAAAUUACGAGAUUGUACAAAUUAGUGGAUAACUACAAAAUAUUUAUACGUCACUUAAAAGUCAUAUAUUAUAUUUUACAAUUUAUUAGAAAAAUGGCAAUUAGAAACAUCCUACAUUAACAAAACAAUGGGAUUAUGUAUUUAUAGUAUGAAAAUGAUUGGAAUGAAUCAUUUUGUAUAUAAAAUAAUUGAAACCAAUUUCGUAUUAGAGUAUAGAGAAAAAACAUAUUUAACCCUAUAUUAAAGCAUAGGAGUUGGUCGAACCUUUGGUUUGUAUGACGAUGAUUUCUUGAAUUAUUUUUUAGCUCAGAUUGUAUGGGUUGAGUUAGGAUUGUUUAGUAAUUCUAGGCGUCUGGCGGUGUGCGUGUUGAGAUGGAGUGUCUUAGGUAUUUUAUGUUUGUAUAAGGGUUGAAUCACUCCUGAAGUGGUUCACAUUUAUUUAUUUUUUAUUGUCGAUAAAAAAAAGUAUAGGAGUUGGUGAUGUAUUCAAAUAAGACCAUUUUAUACUUUGUAACAACAAAAUCUAUGACGAUAUGCGAAACCGUCAUAUACAAAUACGUUUGUAACUCAUUAUGUACAAUAAAAAUUAUCAUUUUAAACACAAUUUUUGGGAGUGCACACUACUAGAACAUCAUUGAAUAGAAAUCAAUUUUAAAGACAAAAAUAAUUAGUUAUUAUAGUGACUAAAUUAGAAACCAUUUUAGAUACUAAAAAAAUUAUUGGUUUCUAAAUUAGUUUCUACUAUUAAUAAAAUCUAUGACAAUAUGUAAAUACAUCAUUUUAAAUACAAUUUUUUUGUAACGUAUAUACAAAGUAUAUUAUAUUGAAAAAAGUUAUAAUAAGAAAUUUAACAACAAUUUAUCAUUUUUUAUAUUUAAAUUUAAAGUUUAUAUAAUGUAUUAAAUUACAAAUGUUAUAAUUAUUCAAGUAUAAACAGUUUUUAUAUAUUGUAACGAUAAAAUCUAUAACAAUAUACGAAACCAUCGUAUACAAAAACGUUUAUAAAUGAUGUAUACAAUUAAAAUUUAUCUUAAACAGAUUUUUGUAGUAUAUAUGCAAAGUAUACUAUAGUAAAAUGAUUAUAAUAAUAAAUUAAAGGGUAGUUUACCAAUCUUAUGUUAAAAUUUAUUGACUAAAGAUGCAAAACGAGAUGGGUAAUUUAAUUUACCUAUAAAAGUGCAACAAUUUUUUGACUUAACCACAAUAUAUCAAUAUACAAGAGAUUAAGAAACAUAGUUAAUAAAAAUAACUACAUAUUAUUCUUCUGUUAGAUUAUGUGACCAUCACUUGGAUUUUUAAUUUCUAAUAAGAAAAUUCUUCUUCCAUUUUCAUAUGUGUUAAAUAAUUUUAAAUAAAAUAUAACUUUAUACUUUUAAAUAAUUAUGUGUUUUUAUAUCUUUCUUUCACCCGUAAUAUUUGAGAGUAGUUAAUUAUUUAAAAAAGUGUGUGAGGGUUAAUAAGAAGAUUUAUUAUGAAGGUUUGCUAAAGAGUUUAUAAGUCUACGAGUUAAAAUAAGAGUGUCUUUUAUCAUUUCAAUGUCUCAAUGUGUUUUAUAUACUAAAACGUUUAUUUCUAUAAUGAGAAUGUAAUAUUUUUUAGAGAAAAAUUUCUUUGACACAAUAAAUAGUAAAAAAAAUAUAUUUAAUAUUGCUUAUAAUAAUAUAAAUAAUAUUUUAAAUUAAAAAAUAAAAUAAAAUAAAAUAAAAAUAAAUAAAAUAUUAAUUUAUUUUACAUUUGAUAUAUCAUCUCAAUAUUACGACUUGAUUGAAAGGUUAGAUGUGUCACGAGAAAAUGAGUUUAUUCCUUUUGCAAACAAAAUUUGAAGAUGCAAACAAAGGAAAUGUAGUAACAAAAGUAGAACACAUUUAUUUCACAACUAAACAUUGAUCAAACCUCUCAUACAAUAUGAUGUGAUAAGAUUCUUGAUUUACAUUGAAAUUGAACAAAAACAAGUGCAUGGAACAUUCUCCACUAAUUUAUUCUGCUACAAUUCUCAUGACGUCCUUUUCCCCUUUAUAUUAAAACCACCUCACAAGCCAUUCAAGUUUUCCUAUAAUACAAAAGUCUGAGGCCAAUUCCAAAUAUCAUUCCACAUCCAUAUCCUAUAACCACUGGUUCCCAUCCAAAUCCAAAUCUCUCUUCUCCCAAUAAGCUCGGAGAAGAUGGAGGUUUUUGUUCAGUGUUGUUGCAACUCAUUGACAAUGGGAACCCACAUAAUCCCGAGUUUCCUAGGUAGGAGUCAUUUGAAAAAGUCGCAAACUGUUUUCCUUGAGGUAUUUCUCCCACAAGCUGGUUAUUGGAAAGAUUCAGGACUUCAAGAUAGUUCAGAUUGGUUAAUUCUGUUGGAAUCCUACCAGUAAACAUAUUUGAGGAGAGAUCCAUUGAUUCUAAAUUUGUCAAAUAUCCAAUGGAUUUGGGAAUAAGACCACUUAAUCUGUUAUGGGAAAAAUUGAGUCCUCUAAGAGCAUGAAGCUCUCCAAUUACAUAUGGAAUUUGUCCUUGAAAUUUGUUUUGGGAUAAAUCAAUGGUUACAAAGUUUUUCGGAAUUUGUUUCAAUGUCAUACUUAUCGCUUUUGUUGUUACAGUUACAUAUCCAAUUGUACCUCUUUGGGACCCAUUAUAUGGCAUAUAUGUAAUGCCAAUGUAUAGCUCAUCCCCUUCAUAUGAAAUGACAUUCUUCAUGGCUUUAAAAUUUUGUAUAUAGGUUUUUGGUAUUGGACCAUUGAAAUAGUUGGAUGAGAUAUCAAAAAUAACUAUACUUGAAAAUUCAUACUGCGUCUCUAAAUCGUCAAUGGGACCGUACAAUUUGUUGGAUCGCAAAACCAAUACUGUCAACAUUGGUAGAGUUUGAAGCCAAUGGGGAAAUUUAUCCUCAAUUUGAUUGUUGCCAAGAUUCAAGAUCUCCAACUGUGUGCAAUUGGACAAAGAUUUUGGCAAAGGACCUUCCAAUUGGUUGUCAUUAACAUUAAAAUAAGCGAGCUCACUAUUCAUUGAGAAGUUAUUUGGUAAAGUGCCAUUUAGUUUGUUCCUCUGUAGAUCCAAAAUAUAAAGGCCCCACAAGUUUGCAAGGCAUGGUGGAAUGACGCCUGUCAACUUAUUGUGGGACAAGAUGAGAACUUGAAGAUUACUUGCAUUACAAAUUGAGGAAGACAUGUCACCAGUGAGUAAAUUGAAACUAAUAUCAAGGAUAUUGAGGUUGUAGUUCCUUGAGAAUUGGUUUAUUGGAGUUGUCAACAAGUUGUGGGAUAGGCUCAAAAAUUGUAAUGAACCCAUUUCAUGUAACCACUUGGGCAUUGUUCCAUUCAAUUUGUUGUUGGAUAGAUCAAGCUCUAUCAAAAUUGGGAUUUUUCCUAGUAAUUUUGGAAAUUCAGUUAAACCCACAGAAGAUAAAUACAAUCUCUCUAAGAGAGGAGCAUUGGUGAAAAUUGUAUAGUUAUGAAGACCAUUGAAGUUGUUUGAUGAUAGACAUAAGUGAGUUAGGUUUACAAGGGUGAAGACUGAUUGUGGAAUAUUGCCAUGUAGCUUGUUGUAGCACAAAUAUAGAGACUUCAAGGAUUGAGAUGAGAUUGAAGGUAUAUGGCCUGUGAACUGAUUCUCUGAUAGAUCCAAUUCUUGCAAAAAUGGCAAAGAUAAACACCAAGUAGGAAUUGUCCCAUUUAGUAAGUUGUCUGUGAAGAAUAAAAAAGUUAGAUUUGAAAGCCCUGUUAUUUUGUUUGGUAGAGGGCCCUCCAAUCUAUUCUCUGAAAGAUCCAAGUGAAGAAGAUGUUGAAGAUUUGAAAGUGAGGAUGGAAUUUGGCCACUGAAUCGAUUGUAUCCAAGAUCCAAAAAUGUAAGAUGUGGAAGGGUUAAGAUUGAGGAUGGGAUUGAACCCUUGAGAUAGUUACUUGAGAGAUCGAGGAACGUAAUAUGUGUGAAGUUGGAGAAAGAGGCAGGGAUUGUCCCCUCCAACAUGUUCCUUGAAAGAUCCAACAUAGUGAGAGAAGCAGCACUGCAACUCAAGUUAGGAAACUGCUCAAGACUAUUAUCUGACAACCAUAAGUGUUUAAGUUUUGGUAAACAUAAGAUGUCAGUUUUCAAGUUUUCCUGAACUCCGGUGUAUUUAAGACUAAGAUUAACCAAAGAGGUAGAUAGAUUGAGUGACCUCAUCGAACUAAAAGUCAUAUUUACACCAUCCAAAAUAAGCUCCGCUAAAACUGUUGCAUUUUGAAGGAACUUCUUCCAACUGUUUUCUUUCCACAUUAACCUAGUAAAAGAGAGAUCAAGUGAUUCCAAUUUGGAAAGUUGUGAGAUUUGGGAGGGAAUUUCACUUCGAAAUUCAUAGUUAGAUAUAUUGAGGUGUGUGAGGUUCACAUACCCAACAGAAGGAAAUGAUAAUUGAGAGGAGUAAAAGUAAUUGAAAGUAAGAUUAAGUGAUUGAAGAUGAGAAAGACGGAAAAGAGAAGUGUUUGGAUGGAUUUCACCUGAAAGACGAUUGCAAGCGAGGUCAAGGCCUAUGACGUGACCAGAGAUGGGAUGGCAAAGAACCCCAGACCAUGAACAACAAUCUGUUCCAUUUUCCCAGGUUGACAUCUUUGGAACAAAAUUAUCACAAUCAGAAUAAUAAUAGUCAUGAACAUAAGCAAGAGAGUUCUUGAAUUGGAGCAACGCAAUUUUGUCGUGAAGAUGACAUAAGGAAUGAGAGAAUGAGAAGAGAAAGAGAAACCAAUGGGAACAUAAAAGAAGAAACCAACCCACCCAUGACUCCAUUUGAAAGUGUAUUUAAUGAAAAGUGUUAAGUGUGAUUUAAUUAAAGGAAUGAAAGAUGAAGAUUUAUAGCCAAAAUAAAAUAGGAUAUGAAGAUGAACACGGCAUCACUCAGCUUAUAAUAUUUUCAUUAAUGUUUCAAUUUCCAAAUUGCCUUGAAAGACGGGGCAUAUGGGUUGAUUUUCAUCUUCAAAUAAUGUAUUAUACUUUUCCACCAAAAUGGAAUUGACUUUAAGUCAAUGCCCCAAAAAUUGGGACUUGGGUUUACUAUUCUUCGUGUUUCGUGUUUCUUGGGUUUAACGGUAAAAAGUGGAAUUAAGUAAAUAUUGUAUUCUUCCUUACAAUCUUUAUCGUGAACAAAAUGCUAUUAUUUUUAUCUUUUAGAUACAUUUUCUAUUUCUUUUUGUAGCAUUUUUUAAUUUUUUUCAUAUUUUUUUCAUCUGCUAACCAUAUAAAGAAUACCAUUUUAAAACAAAAUUAAAGAUAUUGAUUUUAUUUUAUUUUCUUAGUAUAGUUUUCUAGGUUAUAAUGUGUAUUUUAGUUGAGUGUGUAGACUCAAACGCUUUAAUUUUAAUUCAUACAUCACAAUGAAUUUUUAAUGAGACCUUUAAUUAGUUAGCCUUUUGUGUUAAUGGUUUCAUUUAUCUGAAAAUUUAAAAAAUGAAUUAGUUAAAAAUAACACUACAUAUUAAAGAACUUUUACUUGGAGAGUUGAAAUUGAUGGUAUGAUAGAUAGAAAAAUAAACACUACAUUAGAAAACUUAUAUUUAAAAAUAUACAACAACUUUUAAUUUAACCAAUAGUGACAAUUUAAUUCAAUAUUUUUUAGUGCUUAUGAUCUAUCUUUUAUCUUUCUAUUCAAGAAUUUCAAGUUUCAGACUGAAUUGCAGGUAAAUGUUUAGUAUCUUUGGAAGGCUGAAAUAAAUGUUAAGAGUUAAAGUACUAACUAUUUUUUAAAAUAGCUUGUGAUUCUUAUAAUUUUUUUUUAUAAAUUUGAUGAUUAUGAAUUUUUUAAUAUAGGUUUAUUUUAUUUUAAAUAUAUAAGUAAUGUAUUUAUAUUAAAAUUUUGUGGUGAUAUUUAUAUUAACAUGUUUUUGUUAGUUUAAGACUAAAAUAAAUGUAAGAGUUUUGGUCUUCUUACCAACUAAAAAAGUAUGAAUAAACGUACUAACAAUUUUUUAUUUCUUUCAUGAUUUCGGAAUUGGAUGGUUUUUUUUUUAAUAUAUGUUUAUUUUGUUUUUAAAAAUAUUUCAAUAAUGUAUAUACAUUAUUGUUGUCUUUAUUAAGACUUUUGUGGAUGAUAUUAAUUUGUUGUUGUGAGUUUGAAACUAAAGAAUAUAUAAAUAUCUUUCAAUAUUGUUUGUGAUUAAAACUCAUACAAAACAAAUAAAAUUUUGUAUAAAUUUAUGUAAAUGUAUACAUAAUUAGUAAUCAUUAAACUCAUUCAAAAAGUCUACUGAUACAUUCACAUUGUAGACAAUAUAAACCUUCAAACAUACAUGCUAAUAUCAUUAUAACAUAAUAUAAAAUAUUUGUUGCCUCUAUUUGGACUUUUGUGGUAGUGUUUAUCCUGACCUACAUGUAUGAGUUGUUUGUGAUUUUUUGCAUUUUUUUAAAAUUCAUGAUUCUUUUAGUUUUUAAUAUAGAUUUAUUUAUUUUAUUUACAAUAUAUUUGCCUUUACUUGAAUUUUUGUGUUAUCAUUGAUUAUGUUAACAAGCUUUAUGAAUUUGAGACUAAAACAAAUGUUAAGAAAUUAGGGUUUUAGUAAAACUGAAGCAUAAGAUAAAAAAAACUAACAAACUAAUUGUUUUUUAAUACUGUUUGUAACAGCGUAAAAAGAUAAAAGCAGAGCCACACCCCUCUCCCCACACAGUGCCUUUUAUUUUCUUUUUCUUUUUCUCUCUUCAUAUUCUUUUCUCUUCCUCUUUUUUAAUUUUCUCUCCCAAUAUUCAUCUAUUUUAGAAUCUAAUCGGACCACGUUGUAGCUGACGAGUUAAGGAACAUUUCUACCCUAUCAGAUUUUCAAACAGAGUAAGUUCAUUUUUGCUCUAAAGUUCCUUUGUUCUUUAUUUUUCCUUAAGAUUUAGUCAUCAAUCUUGGUGGGGUCAGUUGAGAAGUUUAAUCCUCUCAACUUAUUCUACUAUAUACUGAAUUUUUGUUCUGUUUGGAUAACUUGCAUUAGGCCCGUAAAUCUUGAAGUUUAUCGACGGUGGGAAAUAAAAUUCUAAAAGUUGCUUGAGGUAAGGGAAGCUAAAUUUAAUUUUUAAUAGCACCCUAGGAUAGAAGAUAUGAAUGCGAAAAGGACGUGGUCCCAAUAUUCAAUUUUUCUUGCAGGGAUGUUGUGUGUUAUAUAUAUUGGGUUGUUUGUUUAUAUAUUAUUUAAAUUUGUGGAAAUAUUAGGUUUUGAUGAUUUAGUAUUAAAGUGUUAUUUUUUUUAUGUCAAAUAGACUUUUGAAUAUUGUGGAUUACUUUUGAAAUGAUAUUGUAUGACGGAAUGGUAUGGAAUUGAAUUCAUACAUUUGGGAUAAUGUAUGGACUGAUGUUUGUUGUGUAUUAAGUAUUGAUGCCUAUGUGGUAACAGAGAUCUCCGAGCUUCACUGAUGAUCUAAGUCACAUAGAUUAAGACAUCAGGUGGUGAGAAGCUGAUGGGGGAGUUCAUGCACACCGUGACAUAUGAGAUGUACGACUUUGGUUGUAUUGAACUUACCCUGAUCUUUUCUGUUGGAUUCGCUGAUAAUCUUUGGAUCAGGUGUUAGUCUCUGGUAGGACUGACUUAAUACGGAUCUUCCGGAAGACGUUGUUUGUUGAAUAUUCUGGAUGUGUAGAUCCAUGUGAGAUCUAUGUGAUUGUUUUAUGUUGGAAUUUGAAGAAGAUUGAAUAAUUGAGAAAUUGACCAUGUAAUUUGAUUUUCUCUUUUAAUUUAAUUUCAUAUAUUAUAAAAUUUUAUUUUCACUAGCUUACCCUUGCUUUUUGUGUUGUGUUUAAACUGCGAUGACUGUACUAUGUACACGAGCAGAUGACCAUACAGGUGCAGGAAAGUCUUAGAGGUUUCAGAGUUUUAUUUUUAGCUAUGAAUAUGUAAAUAUUUGUAUUUCUAUAAAUCCUAAUAAUGUAUUAGGAAUGUUUUGAAAAACUUCAAAUUUGUAUAGAAAUACGUAGAACUUGUAUUGUAAUAGUUAGAUAUUAUUUUCUGGGGUGUUACACUGUUUAUGUGUUUCUUCCGUUCUUUCAAAUUUGGAUCAUUCUUGAUUUUUUAAUAUAUAUUUAUUUUAUUUUAAAAAUAUCUGAUUAAUGUAUUUAUAUUAUUUUUGUCAUUUUAGGACUUUUGUGUCCAACAUAGGAAUUGAGUUGGAGUCGGUGCCGACAAAAAUGAGAAACAUGCCAGAUAAAUAUUUUAAAUAAACAAAAUGAGUUUAAUAUGACAUCAUUUUGCAGUAAUUAGCUACAAAAUCACUUAUUUUAUCUGUUUAUAAAUAAAAAAAUAAAAAAAUUUCAUGAUAAAAUGCAUGAAUACAUGGAUGAUAAAAUUUGUCAAAUGAUGAUAAUUUAACGGUAAAAUGUGUAAUUUAGUAAAUAUGUUAUUCUUUCUUAUAAUCUUUAUCGUCAACAAAAUGUUAUUAUUUUUAUCUUUUCAAAUACUUUUUCUAUUCUUUUUAGCAUUUUUAAUUUUUUAAUAUUAUUUAUUUAUUUGUCAUCUGUUAAUCAAAUAAAUACUACUAUAGUUAAAAACAAAUAUAGAUAUUGAUUUGAUUAUAAAUUGUUUAAGAAUUAAAAGGUAUUUACCAAACUUGUUGAAGAGAAUCAACUUAAUUAUAAGUACUUAUGUACGAGCUGACAAUAAAAAUAAAUAAAUAAAUAUAUUUACUACAACAUUAUAUUGCCAAUUUGUCUUGUUUUUUUUUAACUUGUACAAUACAUACGUUUAUAACUUGGAGGAUGAAGUAGAUGUAAGAGUUUAGGAUGUUUAUAAAAAUUAAGCAAAAGCAUAAAAAUCUAGAUUUUUAUUGUGAUGUUUAUAUUAACUUUAUCAUGAUAUGUUAAUAAUAUAGUUAUACAUUAUAAUGGUGACUCCAUUAUAAUCACCUCAUAACACCAUUUAAUCUUUUAAGAUAUUUUUAUAACCUUCAGGUUUAGUUCAUCUAUACCAGAAUAUCUAUCAUUCAUUUUCAUUCAAACUUGUAAUAUGUAUAAUAAAAUGUUUGUUUCUUUGGAUAAGAAUUCAAAGUGAAAAAUCAAUAAAUAACUUGAGACAGAAAUUGUGAAUAACGUUGUUUUUUCAUUUGUUAUGCUUUAAACAAUAAAAAGAGUUAUAAUAUAUUUUAGAUAAAUUAAUGUUAAAAAUUUGUAAUUUCUUUUAGAUUUGAUAUGUACUAUCAUUUUAAUAUUACGCUUUGAUUGUUAGGUUAAAUAUGUCAAAAGAAAGUGAGUUUAUUUCUUUCACAAACAAAAUUUGAAGAUGCAGACAAAGGAAAUGUGGCAACAAAAGUAGAACACAUUUAUUUCACAAGUAAACAUUGAUCAAAUCUCUCAUACAAUAUGAUGUGAUAAGAUUCUUGAUUUACAUUGAAAUUAAACAAAAACAAGUGCAUAGAACAUUCUCCACUUAUUUAUUUUGCUACAAUUCUCAUGACUUCUUUUUCCCCAUUAUAUUAAGACCACCUCACAAGCCAUUCAAGCUUUCCUAUAAUACAAAAGUCUGAGGCCAAUUCCAAAUAUCAUUCCACAUCCAUAUCCUAUAACCACUGGUUCCCAUCCAAAUCCAAAUCUCUCUUCUCCCAAUAAGCUCGGAGAAGAUGGAGGGUUUUGUUCAGUGUUGUUGCAAUUCAUUGACAAUGGAAACCCACAUAAUCCCGAGUUUCCUAGGUAGGAGUCAUUUGAAAAAGUCGCAAACUGUUUUCCUUUAGGUAUUUCUCCCACAAGCUGGUUAUUGGAAAGAUUCAAGACUGCUAGAAAGUUCAUAUUGGUUAAUUCUGUUGGAAUCCUACCAGUGAACAUAUUUGAAGAGAGAUCCAAUGAUUCUAAGUUUGUCAAAUAUCCAAUGGAUUUGGGAAUAAGACCACUUAAUCUGUUAUGGGAAAAAUUGAGUCCUCUAAGAGCGUGAAGCUCUCCAAUUACAUAUGGAAUUUGUCCUUCAAAUUUGUUUUGAGAUAAAUCAAUGGUAAAAAAGUUUCUUGGAAUUUUGUGGAGUGUCAUACUUAUCGCUUUUGUUGUUACAGUUACAGAUUCAUACAUAUAUUCAGUUAUAUAUAGAAUCAUAACAUUUAGGGAUGCACUGACUUGAGUAAGUGGUGUGUUCAUGUAGAACUCGCUCCCUUUAUAUUUAAUGACAUUCUUCAUGGCUUUAAAAUUUUGUAUAUAGGUUUUUGGUAUUGGACCAUUGAAAUAGUUGGAUGAGAUAUCAAAAAUAACAAUACUUGAAAACCCAUACUUUGUCUUUAAAUUGGCAAUGGGACCAUAGAAUUUGUUGGCUCGCAAUACCAAUAUUGUCAACUCUGGUAGAGUUUGAACCCAAUGGGGAAAUUUAUCCUCAAUUUGAUUGUUGCCAACAUCCAAGAUCUUCAGUUUUAUGCAAUUAGACAAAGAUUCUGGCAAAAGACCUUCCAAUUGGUUGUUAUUGAGAUUCAAAAUAGUGAGAUAACUAUUCAUUGAAAAGGUAGUUGGUAAAGUGCCAUUUAGUGUGUUAUUUUUUAGAUCCAAAACAAAAAGGAAUUGCAAGUUUACAAGGCAUGAUGGAAUGACGCCUGUCAACUUAUUGUGUGACAAGCUGAGAAUGAUAAGAUUACUUAUUUUACAAAUUGAGGAAGACAUGUCGUCAAUGAGUAAAUUGAAACUAAUAUCAAGGAACCUGAGAUUGUAGUUCCUCGAGAAUUGGUUCAUUGGAGUUGUCAACAAGUUGUGGGAUAGGUUCAGAACUUUUAAUGAAUCGAUUUUAUGUAACCACUCGGGCACUGCUCCAUUCAAUUUGUUGUCAGAUAGAUCGAGCUUUGUUAGCAUUGGGAAUUUUCCUAAUAAUUUUGGAAAUUUAGUUAAACCCACAGAAGAUAAAUACAAUCUCUCUAAGCGAGGGGUGUUGGUGAAGAAUGAAGAGUUAUGAAAAUUACUGAAGUUGUUUGAUGAUAGACAUAAGUGAGUUAGGUUUACAAGGGUGAAGACUGAUUGUGGAAUAUAUCCAUGUAGCUUGUUGUAGCACAAAUAUAAAGACUCCAAGGAUUGAGAUGAGAUUGAAGGUAUAUGUCCAGUGAACUGAUUAUCUGAUAGAUCCAGUUCUUUCAAAAAUGGCAAAGAUAAACACCAAGCAGGAAUUGUCCCAUUUAGUAAGUUAUCAUUGAAGGAUAAAAAAGUUAGGUUUGAAAGCCCUGUUAUUUUGUUGGGUAGAGGACCCUCCAAUCUAUUCUCUGAAAGAUCCAAGUGAAGAAGAUGUUGAAGAUUUGAAAGUGAGGAUGGAAUUUGGCCAUAGAAUUGAUUGUAUCGAAGAUCCAAAACAGUUAAAUAUGGAAGGGUUAAGAUUGAGGAUGAGAUUGAAUCUUUGAGAUAGUUACUUGAGAGAUUGAGGGAAGUAAGAUGUGUGAAGUUGGAGAAAGAGGCAGGGAUUGUCCCCUCCAACAUGUUCCAUGAAAGAUCCAACAUAGUGAGAGAAGCAGCACUGCAACUCAAGUUCGGAAAAUACUCAACACUAUUCUCUGACAAGCAUAAGUGUUUAAGUUUUGGUAAACAAAAGAUGUCAGUUUUCAAAUUUUGUCGAACUCCAGUGCCUCUAAGACUAAGACUAACCAAAGAGGUAGACAAAUUGAGCUGACUCAUCGAACUAGAAGUCAUAUUUACCUUAUCCAAAAUAAGCUCCCUUAAAACUGUUGUAUUUUGGAGGAACUUCUUCCAAUUGCUCUCUUCCCACGUUAACAAAGUAUCAGAGAGAUCAAGUGAUUCUAAUUUGGAAAGUUGUGAGAUCUGGGAAGGAAUUUCACCUCGAAAGAGAAAAUCACCAGACAAAUUGAGGUGUGUGAGGCUCACAAACCCACCAAAAGGAAAUGAUAAUUGAGAGGAGAAAUAAUUGAAAGCAAGAUUAAGUGAUUGAAGAUGAGAAAGACGAAAAAGUGAAGUGUUUGGAAUGAUUUCACCUAAAAGACCACUGCAGGUGAGGUCAAGGCCUAUGACGUGACCAGAGAUGGGGUGGCAAGUAACCCCAGACCAUGAGCAACAAUCUGUUCCAUUUUCCCAUGUUCUGGUCUUUGGAACAAGAUUAUCACAACGGAAAUGAUAAUUGUUAUCACUGAAAGAGGUCUUGAAUUGGAGCAAGGCAGUUUUCUCAUGAAGAUGACAUAAGGAAUGGGAGGAUGAGAAGUGAAAGAGCAACAAAUGACAACACAGAAAAAGCAACCACCCCACCCAUGACUCCAUUUGAAGCUGUGUUUAAGGAAAAGGGUUCACUGUGAUUUACUUAGAGCAAUCAAAGAUGAAGAUUUAUAGCCAAAAUAAAAUAGUUUGUCUUCAUUAAUGUUUUCAAUUUCCAAUUUGUCUUGGUCAGUGCCUGCAAAGACGGGGCAUUUGGAAUUGACUUUGGAGUCAAUGCCCCAAACAAUGGGACUUGGGUUUACUAUUCCAACUACAAACAAUAAAGAGAUCACAUGCCAUAUAAAUAUUUUAAAUAAACAAUAUGAGUUUAAUAUCACAUCAUUUUGCAAUAAUUACCUACAAAAUCACUUUUUUACUAAAAUUAAUAAAAUAAAUUUUUUUGAUGAUAAAAUGCAUGGAAAAACAUGGAUAAUAAAAUUUGUAAAAUGAUGAUGAUUUAACGGCAAAAAGUGCAAUUAAGUAAAUAUUUUAUUCUUCCUUAUACUCUUUAUCGUUAAUAAAAUGCUAUAUAUUUUUAGACACAUUUUCUAUUUCUUUUUGUAGCAUUUUUUAUUUAUUUAUUUGUCAUCUGUUAACCAUAUAAAUAAUAGUGUUUAAAAAAAUAAAGAUAUUGAUUUGAUAAUAAAUUGUUUAAGAAUUAAAAGAUAUUUACUAAACUUGUUGAAGAGAAUAAACUUAAUUAUAAAUACUAUGUACGAGGUCAACAAUAAAAAGUUUGCUAUACAGUAAUAAAUAUAUUUUUUAAUUAAUGCCUUGCUAUUAAUUUUUUUUCUUUUCUUUAUUUUCUUAGUAUAGUUUUCUAGGUUAUAACGUGUUUUUUUAGUUGAGUGUGUAGACUCAACGACUUUAAUUUUAAUGCAUUGGGCCCUUUUGACUUUCGUGUGUAAAUUAAUGACUUUUAUGAAAGAUGAAGCUUCAAGAAUUUAGAGAAGGCAAUUAAUUAAUUCAUGUUUUGGCAAUGUUAGGUUAGAGUAGAGAGAAAUAUAGCAUCAUUUUUUUGUCUUGUUCAAUCAGACUUCUGAUACAAAAAUUUAAUGUUAUUUAUGCAAAAAGUGAAUAGAAUCUAUUAAAUUAUUUUUAUCUAAGAACUUCCAAGUAUUUCAUAUGAUUUCUUUACUUCACAAUGAAUUUGUAAUAAGACCUUUAGCCUUUUGUGUUAAUGGUUUCAUUUAUUUCAAAAUUAAAAAAUGAAUUAGUUAAGGUGACUGCAUAAGGAAUAUAAUAAUAAACAAAUUAUAACAAUAAAUUAAUUUAUUGUUUUAAUUGAUUUCAUAGAAUUAGAUUUAUUUGGGUUUUAAUUAUUAUUUUUGUUAAUUUUAUGUUUAUAAAGUAAAUGGUUUAAAAGAAGUGUUUAUCUUUAUUAUUGAGUCAAAUAUGCAAAAGUCUAAGUGGUUUCUUUGAAUUAAAACAGAAAACAAUAUCUAAGGUGAAGAAAGGGGAAAUAAAAUCUACAAUAUCUUCAUAAACAGAAUUGGAAUAAAAUAUUUUGCAAAAUACAAUAAUGAUGUAAAGUUAAAAACGAUUAACAAAAUCUAAAUUACAAUAUUUUUUCAAGAUCCUUGGAGCAUAAAAGCUUAUAAAAAGACACAAGCCUCAAAGAGAGAGGAGAGAACUUCAUAGGAUUUUCUUAGUUUAUUUUCUUCUUUGUAAUUCUUUUGUUUAUUUUACCUCUGCAUGGAAAGUUAAACCUUUUUAGUUGAUUUCUUUGUAAUCCCCAUUGAGUUAUGAUGUUUUCAUCAAUAUAAGUUUCAUUUUUCAAUUCUCUACAACAGUUGUUUUUUAUCUUCUAAUCUACUGAAAAACUGGUUUUUGUUAGAUGUUGUACUUGAACUCAUGAUUGAGAGUUUUCCUUACUUUAAGCUUUGGUUUCUUAAUUAAUUCGCAUUGUUCUAAUUAUUAAAAAAAAAUUACAUGAAAGACAAAAUUAGCUAUAUGAAUAUAAUUCCAGAAUGGGAAUGUGCAAUUUCUUUGAUCGCACAAAGAGUAAAUAUAGUAAAGUUUGAAGACAAAAAGAGCAAAUGUAUCAUCAAUGAGCAAAAGGAAUAUUGCUGUUUUAUAUUUACUUGGAAUUUUUUCUGCAUUUGUUUGAUUUUUCAACAACAGAUUUUUUAAGAUUAAGAAAAUUAUAAUUUUAGUCAUAAUGCACAAUGUCAUUUUCCAUUUGGCUCUUGCAUUAAAAGAAUUAUUGGGACGCAAAUUCUAAUAAUCUUCUAUCAUAAAAUUAAAAAAUGUUACAGGUCAUUGAUUUAAAUUAAAAUAUUUUAUGAACACAACUCAUUUUAAAUUAAGAAUAAGCAUACAUUUAUUUUCACAAAUUACACUUUUCAUGGCUCAACUUUGAGGAACCAAAUGGGUUUAACCUAACUUUUCCCAAAUAAAAAGUUGAUUAUUUCCAAUAGUUUAUAUAUGGAUAACAAUACAAUUCAGAAAGUGAUGCAACAUAUACUUUCUCUUUUUUAAGGAAUAAAUAAAUAACCUUUUUUUUCCAUAGCCACUGCCAUAAGAUGUGUAAGUCACAACUUUUACAUUAUUAUUUUUAAAUUCAAUGCAUUUUGAAAGAGAGAAAAAAAUUGGAGAUUAAUUAUUUUUAUUUUAUUUUUUAACUUCACAUUUUAACACACAUUAUUAUAUUAUUAAAGUGUGUUGUCAAGUGGGUAUAUUUUUUUAGAGAGGUUCCCAAAUAUUAUUUUCCAAGAGAAACUUUGGGAGAGAGGAAAUUAUGAAUGAGAGAUAAGUAGUAUAAGGUUUUUGAAAUAGUAUUGGUCUCAAAAACAGUUUUGAAAUUCCAUGUCACAAAACGACAAUGAUUUACUAGACAAACUAAUAACUUAAUAUGACAAUAAGAGAUUGCACAAACCAACUCAAAUAAGAGAUUCCCAACAUAAGUUUAAAGAUUAAAGAGGACAUUCCACAAACUAGUCCAUAUUUGAAAAAUAAUUUUGAGAGUUGUAUAUUUCAUUAAAAAAUUCCAUUUUUAUUGUAUUUUCUAUAUUUUUUGUUUUCAUGAAAAGAAGUUAUGUUAAGCAAUUAAUUAGUGGUCACCUCCAAAUUUUGAAAUGUAAAAUAGGUUACAAGAAAAUUAGUUUAUUCUUCUCAUAACAAAAUUUGAUUGGAGAGAGAAAGGAAAUGUGACAACAUAAGUAGAACACAUUUAUUUUACAACUAGAUCAAAUCUUUCAUACAAUAUGGUGUGAUAAGAUUCUUGACAUACAUUGAAAUUGAACAAGAACAAAAGCAUGGAACAUUUUCUAGUCAAGCCACAUAUCCACUAAUUUAUUAUGCUACAAUUCUCAUGACUUUCUUUUCACCUUUAUAUUAAGACCACCUCCAACCAUUUUCACAAGUCAUUCAAGCUUUCCUACAAUACAAAAAUCCAAGGCCAAUUCCAAAUAUCAUUCCACAUCCAUAUCCUAUAACCACUGGUUCCCAUCCAAAUCCAAAUCUCUCUUCUCCCCAGAAGCUUGGAAAAGAUGGAGAUUUUUGUUCAGUGUUGUUGCAAUUCAUUGACAAUGGAAAUCCACAUAAUCCCGAGUUUCCUACAUAGGAGUCGUUUGAAAAAGUGUCAAACUGUUUUCCUUUAGGUAUUUCUCCCACAAGAUGGUUCUGGGAAAGAUUCAGGACUUCAAGAAAGUUCAAAUUGGUUAAUUCUGUUGGAAUCCUACCGGACAACAUAUUUGAGGAGAGAUCCAAUGAUUCUAAGUUUGUCAAAUCUUUAAUGGAUUUGGGAAUAUGACCACUAAGUUUGUUAUGGGAAAAGUUGAGUCCUCUAAGAGCAUGAAGCUCUCCAAUUACAUAUGGAAUUUGUCCUUCAAAUUUGUUUUGGGAUAAAUCAAUGGUUACAAAGUUUUUUGGAACUUUUUUUAGUGUCAUACUUAUCGCUUUUGUUGUUACAGAUACAAAUCCAACUGUAACACUUUUGGACUUAUUAAGUGACAUAAGUGGUAUGUCCAUGUAUAGCUGGCUCCCUUUAUAUGGAUUGACAUUCUUCAUGGCUUUAAAACUUUGUAUAUAGGAUUUUGGUAUUGGACCAUUGAAAUAGUUGGAUGAGAUAUCAAAAAUAAUUAUACUUGAAAACCCAUGCUCCGUCUUUGAACCUUCAAUGGGACCGUACAAUUUGUUGGCUCGCAAUACCAAUACUGACAACAUUGGUAGAGUUUGAAGCCAAUGAGGAAAUUUAUCUUCAAUUUGAUUGUUUCCAAGAUUCAAGAUCUUCAAUCGUGUGCAAUUGGACAAAGAUUUUGGCAAAGGACCUUCCAAUUGGUUGUCAUUAACAUUAAAAUAAAUGAGCUCACUACCCACUGAGAAGUUAUUUGGUAAGGUGCCAUUUAGUUUGUUCAUUUGCAAAUCCAAAAUAUAAGGGUUAUUCAGGCAUGGUGGAAUGGCACCUGUCAACUUAUUGUGGGACAAGAUGAGAACCCAAAGAAAAAUUAUAUUACACAAUGAGGAAGACACGCCGCCAAUGAGUAAAUUGAAACUAAGAUCAAUGAUCUCGAGGUUGUAGUUCAUUAAGAAUUGGUUCAUUGGAGUUUCCAACAAGUUGUGGGAUAGGUUCAAAAAAUUUAAUAAACCCAUUUCAUGUAACCAUUUGGGCACUGUUCCAUUCAAUUUGUUGUUGGAUAGAUCAAGUCGUGUCAACAUUGAGAAUUUUCCUGAUAAUUUUGGAAAUUCAGUCAAACCCAUAGAAGAUAAAUACAAUAUCUCUAAGUGAGGGAAUUUGCAAUUGAUGUUGGUGAAGAAUGAAGUGUUAUGAAGACCACUGAAAUUGUUUGACGAUAGACAUAAUUGAGUUAGGUUUACAAGGGUGAAGAAUGAUGGUGGAAUAUUGCCAUGCAGCUUGUUGUAGCACAAAUACAGAGACUUCAAGGAUUGAGAUGACAUUGACGGUAUAUGCCCUGUGAACUGAUUAUCUGAUAGAUGCAAUUCUUGCAAAAAUGGCAAAGAUAAACACCAAGCAGGAAUUGUCCCAUUUAGUAAGUUGUCAUUGAAGGAUAAUCGAGUUAGGUUUGAAAGACCUGUUAUUUUGUUGGGUAGAGGACCCUCCAAUCUAUUCUCUGAAAGAUCCAAGUGAAAAAGAUGUUGAAGAUUUGAAAGUGAGGAUGGAAUUUGGCCACUAAAUUUAUUUUGUGAAAGGUCCAAGUAAAUAAGGUGUUGAAGAUUUGAAAGUGAUGAUGGAAUUUGGCCACUAAAUUGAUUCUUUGAAAGAUCCAAGAGAAGGAGAUGCCUAAGAUUUGAAAGUGAGGAUGGAAUUUGGCCACUAAAUUGAUUCAUUGAAAGAUCCAAGAGUAGGAGAUGUGUAAGAUUUGAAAGUGUUGAUGGUAGCUCACCUCCUAUAGUGUUAGCACUUAAAUGUAAUUCUUGAAAUUUGUUUGACUGAGAAAAGACAUUCGGGAUUUGGCCACUGAAUUGAUUGAAUCUAAGAUCCAAAAAACAUAGAUGUGGAAGGGUUAAGAGUGAGGAUGUGAUUGAAUCAUUGAGAUAGUUAUGUGAGAGAUCAACUGAAGUAAGAUGUGUGAAGUUGGAGAAAGAGGCAGGGAUUGUCCCCUCCAACAUGUUCCAUGAAAGAUCCAAUAUAGUGAGAGAAGCAGCACUGCAACUCAAGUUCGGAAAUUGCUUGAGACUAUUAUCUGACAACCAUAAGUGUUUAAGUUUUGGUAAACAAAAUAUGUCAGUUUUCAAGUUUUGUCGAACUCCAGUGUUUCUAAGACUAAGACUAACCAAAGAGGUAGACACAUUGAGUGGUCUCAUCGAACUAGAAGUAAUAUAUACAUAAUCCAAAAUGAGUUCCCUUAAAACUGUUGUAUUUUGGAGGAACUUCUUCAAAAUGCUUUCUUUCCACGUUAAGAACAUAUUAGAAGAGAGGUCGAGUGUUUCUAAUUUGGAAAGUUGUGAGAUUUGGGAGGGAAUUUCACCUUGAAUGCGAGUUGUAGAUAGAUUGAGGUGUGUGAGGCUCACAAACCCACCAAGGAAAGAUGAUAAAGGAGAGAAGAAAAUAUCAUUGCAAGCAAGAUUAAGUGAUUGAAUAUGAGAAAGACGAAAAAGAGAAGUGUUUGGAUGAAUUUCACCUGAAAGAUGAUUGCAGUUGAGGUCAAGGCCUAUGACGUGACCAGAGAUGGGGUGACAAGUAACCCCAUACCAUGAGCAACAAUCUGUUCCAUUUUUCCAUGUUGACGUCUUUGGAACAAAAUUAUAACAACUAGACAUAAAGCCAUAGUCAUGAUCAUAAGUGAGAGAGUUUUUGAAUUGGAGCAACGCAAUUUUAUCGUGAAGAUGACAUAAAGAAUGGGAGAAUGAGAAGUGAAAGAGAAACAAAUGGGAAAAUAAAAGAAGAAACCAACCUACCCAUGACUCCAUUUGAAACUGUAUUUAAGUAAAAGUGUUGAGUGUGAUUUAGUUAAAGGAAAGAAAGAUGAAGAUUUAUAGCCAAAAUAAAAUAGGAUGUGAAGAUGAACACGGCAUCACUCACCUUCUAAUAUUUUCAUUAAUGUUUUAAUUUCCAAAUUGACUUUGGAGUCAAUGCCCCCAAACAAUGGGACUUGGGUUUACUAUUCCAACUACAAACAAUUAUCCCAACACCACCUCUCAUUUUUAUCAAAUAUUUGUUUUAUUUGUUAACUAAUUAUUAUCCAAAAAAUAAACCCAUGUUGUUUCCUCUUGAUAUACAUUAAUACUAAAAUAAUUAUAAAUUUUUUUAAUGUGAUAUAUACAUUUUUUUUAUAUUUUUAAUACUGUACCCAAAAAUUGAAUAAUAUGUUUUACUAUUCAACUAUAGUUAAUUUACAGAUUUUAUAAUCGAAAACAUAUUUAUCUAUCAAAAUUUUCUAUUGUUUAUAAAUCAAUCUAUUAAAUUUCUACUAUACAGGUGACAUGCCAGAGAAAUAUUUAAACUAAACAAAAUAAGUUUAAUAUGACAUCAUUUUGCAAGAAUUAGCUACAAAAUGACUUCUUUUAUCUUUUUAUAAACUCAAUAAAAUAAAAACUUUUGAUGAUAAAUUGCAUGAAAAAACAUGGAUGAUAAAAUUUGUAAAAUGAUGAUAAUUUUACUUGGAGAGUUGAAAUUGAUGGUAAGAUAUAGAUAGAAAAUUAAAGGCAUAGAAAAAGGAGGAGCAAAUAUAUUUAAUAUUCCUAUGGUAGGUUUUUCCCACUUUCUAAAUUUUCUCAGUGGAAGACCAAGACGAUUCAAAAAGUGUACGUCUCAUCUUUCAACACAAUUAUUUUUAGUGUAUAUUUAAAAUAUAUUAUAUUAAAAGAAUUAUAAUAAUAAAUUUAAGAGCGAUUUAUUAAUUUUUAAAUUUAAAUUUAAGAUUUAUACAAUGCAUUAAAUUAAACUAUAGAUGUUGUGAUUAUUGAAGUAUAUAUUUUUUUAUAUAUUAUGAUGACAAAAUCUACGACAAUAUACGAAACCGUCAUAUAAAAAACGUUCAUAAAUAAUAUUAUAUACAAUAAAAAUAGUUAUGGGCAGUUUACCAAAUUUCUUAUUCAAAUUUAUCGACUAAAGAUGCAAUAGGAGAUGGGUAAUUUAAGUUACCUAUAAAAGUGCAACAAAUGUUUUCGUAAAAACUGAAUUUGAAAAAAUUAUCUAAUUUUAAACUUGAAUAAGCCAAAUUUGAAUUUAAAAAAUAUGGAUUUAAAAUUCAAAUUAGAUUUUUUUUAAAAUAUAGAUUUGUAUUAUUUCAAUUUAAUUUUUUAUAUUUUACUACAAGAAAAUCAUUAAAUUUGAUAGUAAAAACCUUAGUAGACACUACAAGAAAAUCAUGAAAUAGAAACCAAUUUUUAAAUACCAAAAUAAUUAGUUACAAAGAAACUAAAAUAGAGACCAUUUUAGAAACUAAAAAAAAUUAAGUUUCUAAAUUUGGUAUCUAAAAUCUUGGUUUCUAAUUAGAUACCAAUUUAGAAACUAUUUAACAAUAAUAGAAACUAAUUUAGAAACCAAAUUUCUUUUUAGUUUCUAAAAUGGUCUCUAAUUUAGUUACUAUUGCAACUAAUUAUUUUGGUUUCUAGAAUUUGGUUUCUAUUUCAUGAUUUUCUUGUAGUGAGAUAAUUAGAUAUCAAUAUAAAAACUAUUUAACAAUAAUAGAAACUAAUUUAGAAAUCAAAAGUUUUUUUAGUAUCUAAAACUAUCUCUAAUUUAGUCACUAUAGCAACGACAAUGAUUAACAAGACAAAUUAAUAAUUUAAUCUAUCAUACUAAAAGUUUAUUUUACAAUAUAAGAAUAUAAUAUUUUUAAUGUCUAUGACAAGAUUUGAAAAAUAAUUUUGAGAGUUGUAUAUUUCAUUAAAAAAAAUCCAUUUUUAUUGUAUUUUUUAUAUUUUUUGUUUUCAUGAAAAAAAAGGUUAUGUUAAGCAAUUAAUCAGUGAUCACCUCCCAAAUUUGAAAUGUUAGAUGGAUUACAAGAACAUGAGUUUAUUCUUCUCAUAAACAAAAUUUGAAUGCAAACAAAGGAAAUGUGACAAUAAAAGUAGAAUAUAUUUAUUUCACAACUAGAUCAAAUCUUUCAUACAAUAUGGUGUGAUAAGAUUCUUGACAUACAUUGAAAUUGAAUAAGAACAAGAGCAUGAAACAUUCUCUGGUAGAUCACAUAUCCAGUAAUUUAUUGUGCUACAAUUCUCAUGACUUUCUUUUCACCUUUAUAUUAAGACCACCUCCAACCAUUUUCACAAGUCAUUCAAGUUGUCCUACAAUACAAAAAUCUCAAACCAAUUCCAAAUAUCAUUCCACAUCCAUAUUCUAUAACUACUGGUUCCCAGCCAAAUCCAAAUUUCUCUUCUCCCCAAAAGCUCGAAAAAGAUGGAGAUUUUUGUUUAGUGUUGUUGUAAUUCAUUGACAAUGGGAAUCCAUAUAAUCCCGAGUUUCCUAGGUAGGAGUCAUUUGAAAAAGUUGCAAACUGUUUUCCUUGAGGUAUUUCUCCCACAAGUUGGUUAUUGGAAAGAUUAAGGACUUCAAGAAAGUUCAGAUUGGUUAAUUCUGUUGGGAUCCUACUGGUGAACAUAUUUGAGGAGAGAUCCAAUGAUUCCAAGUUUGUCAAAUCUUUAAUGGAUUUGGGAAUAAGACCACUAACUAAUAUUUAAAGAAUUAAAAAUUAAUUCUAAAAUUGUUGAAGAGAAUAAACUUAAUUAUAAAUACUAUGUACGAGGUAAAAAAAUAAAAAGUUUGCUAUACAGUAAUAAAUAUAUUUUUUAAUUAAUGCCUUGCUAUUAAUUUUUUUCACUUUUUUUUUAUUUUCUUAGUAUAGUUUUCUAGGUUAGAACGUGUGUUUUAGUUGAGUGUGUAGAAUCAAACACUUUAAUUUUAAUAUCUUGGGACUUGGAGAGUUGAAAUUGUGGUAGAAAAUUAAAAACUUAGAAAAAGGAGGUGCAAAUAUAUUUAAAAAUAUACAAUGGUAGGUUUUUCCCACUUUCUAAAUUUUCUGAGUGGAAGACCAAGACGAUUAAAAAAGUGCAUGUUUCAUCUUUCAACAAUAUCCCUUUAUUUAUUUAUUUUAUUGAGAAAAUUGUUUGUGUUUUGAUUAAAGAAGUUAUCAAAGAUGAGAAUAGGGUUUGAUUGUUUAAGAUUCAAGCAAGAGAUAAGAAUUUAAAAUUUAUUAAGAAAUGUAUUUAAAACUAAUUCAAAUUUCUCUCGUUCACGUGAAAUCUUCAAUAAAAUUAAAUUAUAUUUUAUUUUACUUUUAUUAAGAAGUUGUUUUAAUUUAUGAUCUUGUACAUUUUUUUCAAUUAUCAACAAUUUUUUUAUGUAAAUAAUUUGAACUUUUGAUUGAAGAAGUUCAUAGAAAAGAGGGUAAUGUUUGUUUGUUUAAGAUAGAAACAAAAAGGUAAAAGUUUAGGAAUUAUUGGACUUCUCUCCAUAGUAGUACACAAGUUUUUUAUUUUAUUUUUAUUGAUAAGUUCUUUUAUUUCUUAACUAAGAGUGUUGGAUAAUUGUUUCUCUUUAUCUUUAUUUUUUUAUUAUCAAUGUAAGAGUUUAGUAAAACUAAAGCAAAAAGUAUGAGCAAAAAUAUCAUCAGUUUUUUUAUUUUUUCAUUAUUUUGGAUUUGGAUGAUUCUUAUUUUUUUAAUAUGGUUAUUUGUUUUAAAAAUUUCUAAAUGCUUUAUUUAUAUUAUAUUAUAAAUUAAUAUUUUAUUUAUAUUAUAUUAUAAAAUUAAUAUUUUAUUUAUAUUAUAUUAAAAAUUUAAUAUUUUAUUUAUAUUAUAUUAUAAAAUUAGUAUUUUAUUUAUAUUAUAUUAUAAAAUUAAUAUUUUAUUUAUAUUAUAUUAUAAAAUUAAUAUUUUAUUUAUAUUAUAUUAUAAAAUUAAUAUUUUAUUUAUUCCUGACAUGUUGAAAAUGAUCCAUGAAUGAUAGAAGAAGAUUAAACAGGGGAAGAAAAUCUUACUAGGAAGAUGCUGACAAAUUUCACUAUUAGAAUCUACUAUAAACCAAUUUAAAAAAAAAUAUUAAUUUUUAUAUUUAUUAAAUUAAAUACUAUUUUAUAGACUACAAAAUUUAUUAAUUUUUAAUUAGUUUUUAUUAUUGAUGAUAAAUUUAGAAAUAUGUUUAGAGAAAAAUAUUUUAUAACUUUUUUUUUUCUUUUUGGAUAUUUUAGAUAUUGGUUAACUAUUGGAUUCACUAUUUUGAAUCUUAAACCAAACAAUUAAUAAAAAAUGUUAGAUUAAUUAUAAUUGUUUUUAUAUAUGAAAUUACAAAUGCUAGUAGCUUAAUUUAAUUUUUUUUAUCAUUUUUUACUGGAAGUUAUUAAAAACAGGUUUUAUUUAUCAUUCUUUUUAUUGGUAAUUAUUAAGAACAAGUUUUAUUAAAUUACGAGAUUAUACAAACUAGUGGAUAAUUAAUAAUUUUUAUACGACACUCACAUAUUAUAUUUUAAAAUUUAUUAGAAAAAUGGCGAUUAGAAAAACCAUACAAUAACAAAACAAUGGGAUUAGAUGUACUGUUAUUUAUAUUGAAAGAAGUUUUUAAUUAAAAAAAUUAUUUAUAAUUUUAAUUAAAGAAUUACAACAAUUUUAAUUGAUAUUGUUUAUAAUUUUAAAAUGUCACUUUAUACAAUAUAUUAGAAGGUUAAAUAUGUUUUUUUACUAUAAUCCGAAAUUAAUUUUUAUCUAUUUUCAAACUUUAGACUAUCAUAUGAAAAAUGAUUGGAAUGCAUCUUUUUAUAUGUGAAAUGAUUGUUAAAUUUUUUAAAGAUUGUUAGUUUUUUUUUGUUAAGAUUCAUCGUUGUUUUGAUUAUAAUUUGAUGUCUACUAUAAUUACUUUUAGUAGGUUGAUGAAGUAAAACUUCAAAUUAAAUUAAUUUGACAUACAGAAAGACUAUUACAAUCAUUUUCACACUACAAGCACUUGAAUAGUCUAAAAUUUGUAUUAGGUACAAAAAUCAAUUUCAUGUUAGAUGCAGAGACGAAAAACAUAUUUAACUUUAUAUUAAACUAUCUAUAGGUGUUGGUGGACUAACGAUUCAAUAUUUUAUACUUUGUAAUAACAAGAUGUAUGAUGAUAUGUGAAACCAUCAUAUACAAACACGUAUGAAAGUCACAUUAUAUAAUAAAAGUCGUUAUUUUAAAUAAAUUUGUUGGAUUACAUAUGCAAAAUGUAUGAUGUUAAAACAGUUAUAAUAAAAAAUUAAGUGCAAUUUACUAAUUUUUAUAUUCAAAUUUAAAUUUUAUAAAAUGUAUUAAACUACACGUGUUAUGACUAUUCAAGUGUGACCAUUUUAUAUUUUGACAACAAAAUCUAUAAUGAUAUCCAAAACUGUCAUAUCAAAAACAUUCAUAUUGGACAUUAUCUCCAAUAAAAACUUAGUGUCUCAAAAGCUUCUACGGUCACAGAGGUAGGAGCUUGGUGUUGGGUCUAUUAGUGUCUAAGUUCAAGAGGGGAGGGGUGAAUUGAGCUUAUAAAAUUUUCGCAAGAACAUACAAUUUUCAGUAUUCCAGAGGCAAAAAGAACAGAUUGUUUUUACAUGAAACAGAUUGAUUCUUCAGAGCAGUCUUGCACAAUUUGAAUUUGUUCAGCUUAGAAUUGUGAUCAGAAAGCUUUAACACAUCAGGAAGAACAGUUUUUACUAAACCCAGAAUUAACAGAUUCAAUUUCAAAAGAACAGAUUUAGUUCUUGACAGAAUUAAACAAAACCAUAAACGAGUGCAGGGAUGAGAAGAAAAGGCACACAAGUUUUUAUACUGGUUCACUCAUACAGAGCUACAUCCAGUCUCACCUUACCCCAAGGUGGAAUUCACUAAAAACAGUACCAAUUUACUUACAAACACAGCAGUUCUUGAACCCUACAAGAACCACACAAUCAAUGCUGAAAAACCCUAUUUCAGCACACCUUGCACUCCAAGAAACCCUAUCAAGAAGUGACUAACACUUACACCUUUACAAACAAGAAUAAAGGAAGGACUACACCUGAAAAGAAGAUGCAAGAACUCAAAACCAGUAGUUCACUUUGCUGCAGAAACUGCACUAGCACCUUCACCAAGAUCAAAGGUUUCCUAGAACAAGCACACUUGAAAAUCCCUUUGGAAAACCUUUUACAAAUCUUUCUCAAUCCUUCUUCUCACACAGAAAGUGUUUGAUCUCUGUCAAAACGUGAUUGCUCAGCUUGCUUUUAUGUGAGAGAGACUUUUCUUUAUAAACCAGUUUCUAACUUCUUUUCAAAAACCAGUUGAAAAGCAGUUAUGAAAACAACAGAUUUAUUUUUGAACUCAACAGGUUUAUUUUGUGAAAAAAAACCGCCGACUCAGCUAACUGAAAUAACUGUCUGAGUUGUACCUUUGGUGCCCUAACUGAAUUUUAGAAAGGCCUUUUCACAGAGAAGAAAUGAACAGAUUCUUUCUCAAUGAAACAGAUUUAUUUUUGUACUGUCUUAAAACCUUUUAAGAGCACUUUAAAAAGCUUUUAAAAAAACUUUUAACAGAGAAGAAAUAAAUAGAUUCUUUCUCCAUAAAACAGAUUUAUUUUUGUACUUGAUUUAAAAUCCUUUAAGAGCGCUUUUAAAAGCUUUUCAAAAAUCUUUUAACAGAGAAGAAAUAAACAGAUUCUUUCUCCAUGAAACAGAUUUAUUUUUGUACUGAUGUAAAACUUUUAAGAUCACUUUCAAAAGCUUUUCAAAAAACCAUUUGACCACAUCAUGUGCUUGAUCUAGACUUGGUUAGGCAUCUAGGAUGGGUUAUACAGCAAAAGGCAACCUUCCACAAUACAAGCCUAAUUACAAACCAAUCUAAAAACCUAUUACACUCUUCAAAGCACCCAAGCUAUUUUCUUCAUCAAACACACAUCAAGCCUUGGUAGGGAAGAAGCUUCCUCCAGCUUCAACAAUCUCCCCCUGUUUGAUGGAGACAAAUUCCCUUUGCUUUGCACAGCUUUGAAGAAGGAUCAUGACCAAACCUGUACAGUACUAUAUACCAAACAAAAAAACACAGAUGUCAAGACAGAACAAACAAAUUUUAGAUUUGAUAUACCUGCAGAUUUAACAUCUGAAUCACAUCAGCAACCUCUGUGAAUAUCAACUGCAGAACCUGUACCAGGCUAUUCUUCUUAUUCUUCUCCCCCUUUGGAUUCAUCAAACAGAAUGGGUGCACAAGAUACCAAAGAAAUAAUAGCCAUACAUAACAGUUCAAAUAAAACCAGCAUAGAGGUCUAUUACAAACCACAAAUCAACUACAAACCAAUGCAGAAUAAAGACAAAACAGAUUUAAAACCAGAAUUGUUCAACAACAAAUAAAGACUUAAAGACUUAGAAUUAGGAUCACUUGUCCUUGUAGUAGAGCUCAGCUAGCUGCACUUGAACUCCUUCAAGUUGGUCAUCCAAGUGUUGAAACCUAGCGUAGGUCAUGUCAUAGUAUGCCUUCUGCUCAUAGGUGAGUGUGUCCAGCCUGCUUAGCACUUGUCUUUCAAACAUUGACAGAGGUUCACCUCUGUACUCAGGUGCCUCAUAUGCAACCAUUGCAUUUUGACUUGUUGCAGCAACAUCUUCAUCCAUGUGUUGCACACCAUCAGCAUUUGCUUCUCCUUCAUUUCCUUGAGGAGCCGCUUCUUGUUCAACCCUCUGUCCAGCAUUUCUUCUGAAAACCCAGCCAUCUUCUUCCUUAUAGAAUCCCAUUUUCAUGAGAGUGGAGUUAUCUAUUUCACUUGCAGCUUUAAUAGUGUCAUUCCUUUCAUUGGUAGUAUCCACUUUAAAAUGAUCAAUUAGUUUUGACACAAAUAUUGCAUAGGGAAGACGAUAAUCAGGAAGCCUUGCAGAUUUCAUCAUAUGUUCAACCAUAGUGCUUACCCAAUUUACCUUAAGCUGGUUCAUGAUACAGUACAACAGUAUCAAGUCUUCCUCAUGAAGAACAACAUGAUUGCUUCCUCGAGGGGUGAGCUGCCAAACAAUUAUAUGAGCUAAGAGUCUAGGAAUCAAAGUUAGGUUACCUGCGUGAUACCUAGCUACUGGUUCAGUAGGAUUCCUCACACAACUUCUAUAAAACUGCAGCUUAUUGAACCCUUGAAUCCCAGCAGUGUUUCCUUUGUUUACUUUUAGCCCUGAGUAUUUGAUUCCACCUAUACUGCUCCAAAUUUCCCUAGUGAUCUUCAGCUUCACUCCUUUCACAUGGGAAACCAGAUUUUGACCAUCUUGUUCAAGGUUGCAGUGAAAUACUUUCACAAGGUCUGGAUAAACAUUUCUAGUCAUCUCCAGAAAUUCUUUCAACUUUUGAUGCUUGAGCAAGUCUUUUGCUUAUAUCAAAUUCUCCUCUUUCAGCCACGAGAACUCAAGCAUUUUGGGUACAUUGAUUUGCUUUCUGCCAGUCUCAUAUAUGAACCUUGUCAUUCCCUCUGAAUCUCCAGCAAACCAGUUUUCCAGAAUGCCUUGGCUGCUUUGAGAUUGCUCCUUGGAUUUCUUCUUUCUAUGUGAAGAUGAUGCCAUGCUUAAACUGCUGGUAUUUGCACCUGGACAGCUUGGUAAAGAGAUNNNNNNNNNNNNNNNNNNNNNNNNNNNNNNNNNNNNNNNNNNNNNNNNNNNNNNNNNNNNNNNNNNNNNNNNNNNNNNNNNNNNNNNNNNNNNNNNNNNNUAUAGGAUUUAAGCCAGUUUUUGAAAGUCACGGGUUUUGAAUGCAACAAAAUCAGACUCAAGUCAGAUUCUAUUCUAUGCAGUUUUGAAAGAAGCAAGAAUAUAUUGGAAACAUGUUUCAACUUAUCAGGUCAAAUCUGUUACAUAAUCAGAGAUAUUAAAUCAGUUAGGAUAUUCACACAUGAAUGUCAUAAACCAAUGGUCAAUAACCAUAAGAGCAGUCAAUGGUCAAAGAUCAUCAAUUCUGAAACUGAAGCACAACAACACGUUAAAGCGCAAGAUAACAGAUUUAAAAUAUCAGAUAUGCUAUGGAUUUUAUUCCAAUGGUGCAGCAGGUUCAGGUGUGAGUUCACAUAAGAAUAUCUUGAAACCUGAUUUUGGCACAUCAAAUCUGUUGCAUCUACACAAAAUCCAAUUAGUUAGGAUACCCACACAUUAAUUGGCAUAGACCUGCUGGUCAAUAACCGUAAAAGCAGUCAACCAUAAAGUGGGAGAGAGAAAAGUAAAUCUUUCUCUUUCCUAGUCACAGCUGUAAUUUCUGAAACAGGGAACAAACAUGUUAAAAUAUAAAACAACAGAUUGAAAUUUUCACUGCAGAGAACAAUUCAAGCUAAUAAUACCCAAUUCAUUUAGAAGAAAAUAAAACCUGUCUUUAGCAAGUGGUUUAGUGAAUAGGUCAGCUAAUUGAAGUUCAGUACCAAUGAAUUUUAUAUCACAAGUUCCAUUAGCUAUAUGUUCUCUUAGAAAGUGAUGUCUAAUUUCAAUGUGUUUAGUCCUUGAGUGCAUGACAGGAUUCUUAGACAGAUUUAUGGCACUAGUAUUAUCACAAUUUAUAGGUAUGUUAUUUAGCAGAAUUCCAAAAUCACUUAGCUGCUGCCUUAGCCAUAAGGUUUGAGCACAACAACUUCCAGCAACUAUGUAUUCUGCCUCUGCUGUGGAGAGAGCAACACACGCUUGUUUCUUGCAAUGCCAAGAGAUUAGACUUGAUCCAAGCAUGUGACAAGUUCCACUUGUGCUUUUCCUAUCAACCUUACAACCUGCAAAGUCAGAAUAUGAAAAACCAGUUAAAUCUAAAGAUACCUUGUUAGGAUACCAUAAUCCAACAUCCUUAGAUCCUUGCAAAUAUUUCAGAAUUCUCUUUGCUGCAUUGUAGUGUGAUUCCUUUGGAUUAGAUUGAUAUCUAGCACAUAAGCACACAACAAACAUAAUGUCAGGCCUGCUGGCAGUUAAGUAUAACAAGGAACCAAUUAAACCCCUAUACUUGGUUUGAUCCACUGAUUUUCCUGCAGAAUCUUGAUCUAGCUGACAGCUUGUUGCAAUAGGAGUGCUGAUUGCUUUACAUUGAUCCAUAUCAAACCUCUUGAGCAGCUCCUUGCAGUAUUUUUCUUGGCUUAUGAAAAUUCCAUCCUUGAGUUGCUUAACUUGUAGUCCAAGGAAGAAAUUCAUUUCUCCUAACAUUGACAUCCCAAACUCACUUUUCANNNNNNNNNNNNNNNNNNNNNNNNNNNNNNNNNNNNNNNNNNNNNNNNNNNNNNNNNNNNNNNNNNNNNNNNNNNNNNNNNNNNNNNNNNNNNNNNNNNNNNNNNNNNNNNNNNNNNNNNNNNNNNNNNNNNNNNNNNNNNNNNNNNNNNNNNNNNNNNNNNNNNNNNNNNNNNNNNNNNNNNNNNNNNNNNNNNNNNNNNNNNNNNNNNNNNNNNNNNNNNNNNNNNNNNNNNNNNNNNNNNNNNNNNNNNNNNNNNNNNNNNNNNNNNNNNNNNNNNNNNNNNNNNNNNNNNNNNNNNNNNNNNNNNNNNNNACAUCCAUUUGAAACAGCUUGAAACCUUGUAUGCUGGAAAAUGCUAGAAGUAAUCUGACAGCUUCAAGACGUGCUACUGGUGCAUAGGUUUCACCAAAAUCAAUACCUUCUUCUUGAUUAUAACCUUUAGCAACCAGCCUUGCUUUAUUUCUAGUGAUAGCUCAAUGUUCAUCCAUCUUGUUCCUGUACACCCACUUGGUUCCUAUGAUAUUCAUCUCAUGCUUUCUUGGAACCAAGGUCCACACUUCAUUGUAUUCAAACUGGUUCAGCUCUUCCUGCAUUGCUGAUAUCCAAUUACUGUUUUGCAGUGCUUCUUCCAGAUUUUUAGGUUCAAUCUGUGACACAAAAGCCACUGUUCUGCAGAAAUUGUUGAGUGAAUUCCUUGUUGAGACUCCUUUCUCAAUUUUACCAAUUACAUUGUCAAGAGUGAGAUCCCUUGGAGUCUUCCAUUCUUUAGGCAAACCUGCAUUCACAGUAGAUUCUUUGAUAGAAUUUGAAUUAGUUGCAUCAAGCUUACUAGAUUGAUUCUGUUGCAGAAUGGUUCGUAAAUCAUCCAUACCAGGUUCAUCCAGAACAGAUUUGGGCACAGAAAAAUCUGUUUCAUCAAACACAACAUGUAUAGAUUCUUCAACUGCAAGCAAUCUUUUGUUAUACACUCUAUAAGCAUGACCAUUUAUAGCAUAACCAAUAUGUAUUCCUUCAUCUGAUUUAGGAUCAAACUUCCCCAAAUUAUCUUUACCAUUGUUUAAAACAAAACACUUGCAGCCAAAUACCCUAAGAUGACUAAUGCUAGGCUUCCUUCCUUUAUACAAUUCAUAAGGAGUUUUCUUAAGAAUUGGUCUAAUCAAUGUUCUGUUAAGCACAUAAGAAGCAGUAUACACAGCAUCAGCCCAAAAGUAUUUAGGUAAAUCAGAUUCAUUUAGCAUAGUCCUAGCUAACUCUUCUAGUGAUCUAUUCUUUCUUUCAACAACACCAUUUUGUUGGGGUGUCCUAGGAGCAGAAUAACUAUGUGUGAUUCCAUGUUUUUCACAAUAUUUAUCAAACUUUGCAUUCUGAAAUUCUCCCCCAUGAUCACUACGAAUCUGUUUUAUCCUGUUUUCAUUUUCAUUAUGCAGAACCUUAGCUAGUUUCUUAAAGGCUUUAUAUGCAUAAUUUUUCGAAGCAAGAAACAAAGUCCAUGUAUAUCUUGAAAAGUCAUCAACAAUCACCAAAGCAUAGUAAUUUCCAGCUAAGCUAGCAGUCCUAGAUGGUCCAAACAAAUCCAUAUGCAAAACAUCCAAAGCUUUAUUUGUAGAAACCAUAUCUUUUGAUUUAAAAGAAGUUUUAAUCUGUUUUCCUUUUACACAAGCAUCACACAAUCUGUUAUUUUGAAAUUUUAUGUUUGGUAAGCCAGAAACAAGAUCCUUAGACUUUAGCUUAUUCAAGUGAUUUGUGUGAAUGUGAGCUAGCCUUCUAUGCCAUAACCAAGAUUCAUCACUUUUAGAAAGCAAACAUUCAUUUUCAGAACAGCUAUUCAUAAUAUCUAAGAGAUAGAUGUUGUUUACCCUUUUCCAGUGAACAACACCUUACCAGAAAUUUCAUUUGAAAUUGUACAAGUGUUGGCUUCGAAAUUGACCUUGUAUCCCUUGUCACACAGCUGGUUAAUGCUUAGAAGACUAUGUUUUAGCCCUUCAACAUACAGUACAUUCUCUAUAGUAGUUGAGCCUUUAAUACCAACAUCUCCUCUUCCAAGAAUUUUUCCUCUAUUGUUGUCCCCAUAUGUGACAUGUCCUUCAGCUUUGAGUUUCAGAUUUAUAAACUGAGUCACAUCACCAGUCAUGUGCUUUGAGCAACCACUGUCAAGGUACCACUGGUUUUUCCUGCUGUUUUUCUGCAACAAAACAGAUUCAGAACAUAUGGUACCCCUUUAGUCUAGGGUCCNNNNNNNNNNNNNNNNNNNNNNNNNNNNNNNNNNNNNNNNNNNNNNNNNNNNNNNNNNNNNNNNNNNNNNNNNNNNNNNNNNNNNNNNNNNNNNNNNNNNCCUUUCCUUAGGAAGCCAUUUGGCCAAUCCUUUAGGAACUAGGUACCUCCUAGCUUUACAUGUUCUAGAUACAUGACCAGAUUUCAUACAAUAAAAACAUGUUGCAAUAUGCAUUGUUUUUGAAUGAGUAAAAGAGGAAAAACCUGUUUUGGAAGGAACAAAAAAAACUGGACAGCUUUUUCACAUUGCUUUUCAUUUCAGAUUUAUAUCCUAGACCAUUUUUAUUAAAAACAGCAUUCUGUGAACCUAAUAAGGUCUCAAGAUUUUCUCUUCCUUUAGUGAAAUUUGAAAGCGAUUUUAACAAAUAUUCAACCUGUUUUUCCAGCUUCUUACAAUUAUCACAGGUUUUAAUUGAUGCAUGCAGACAUGUUAAUUCAAGGCUAACUAAUUCAGUUUUAGCUUUGUGCAAUUCUUCUUCAAGAGUUUUAACCUUAGAUUCAAGUAUCCUAUUUACUCUAUUCAAUCUGUUACACAUUAUAGCCAAUCUGUUUGCUUCAUCAUGCGUUUCCUUAAAAGCUAUUAACAGCUGAUCAUAAUUUUCAGAAUCAGUGGAGAAAUCACUUACUGAGUCAGAGUUGAAUCCUUCAUCAUUCACCAUGAAGCACAUAUUGGGUCUUCACUUUCAGUUGAAGAAUUACUAGAUGAGGAUACAUCAUUUCUUUCCCAUGAUAUGUAUGCUCUUCUACCUUUACCUUUGUCACUCUUCUUGCUUGCUGAUUUUUCUUUAUUUUGAUUGUUUGGACAAUCAGCUUUUAUAUGACCUGGUUUACCACAUCCAAAGCAAGUGUAAUUGGAAGAAUUUGAAUCAUUAGGUUGUUUGGAGUACCUCUUUCUCUGCUGAGUUCUGUCACGGUUUUUCUUUCUAAGAAACCUGCUGAAUUUUCUGGUGAGCAGACUCACGGUCUCAUCAUGUUCAGGAUCAGCUGCUUCCUCACUUGUAUCAUGUUCCAAGGUAGUUUUCAGAGCAAUUCCUUUGGCUUUCUUCUCCACAGUUUCUUGUUCUUUCAAUCUUUUCAGCUCUAUUUCAUGCUCUAUCAGCUUUCCAAAGAGUGCAGCAGUGGACAUCUUGGAUAAAUCUCUGGAUUCUGAGAUUGCUGUUACCUUAGGCUGCCAGCUUCUAUCAAGACAUUUCAGCACCUUUAUGUUGAGCUCUUCCUUGUCAAAGACUUUACCAAGACCAGUGAGAUGAUUUACAAUGUGUGUAAAUCGUUUCUGCACAUCUGCAAUACUUUCUUCAGAUUGCAUUCUGAAUAGCUCAUACUCCUGAAUUAGUGAGUGCUUCCUUGCCCGUUUUACAUCAUCAGUCCCUUCAUGAGUUACCUCUAGUACCUCCCACAUCUCCUUAGCUGAGUUACAUUGAGAGACUCUAAAGAACUCAUCCAUAUUCAGUGCAGAGGUGAUGAUAUUCUUGGCUAAGGAGUCAUAUUGAGCCUUCUUUCUCUCGGUUUCACUCCAUUCAGACCAAGGCUUCUUUAUUGUUUCAUCUUUGACAACCUGCAUAGGUAUAAAGGGUCCACUGACCACUGCAUCCCAGAUUCCCAUGUCAAUAGACUCCAUAAAGAUCUUCAUCCUGAUUUUCCAGAAAGCAUAGUUAACACCACCAAACAUAGGGGGUCUAUUAAUAGAUGCACCUUCAGCAAAAGGCAUUUUAANNNNNNNNNNNNNNNNNNNNNNNNNNNNNNNNNNNNNNNNNNNNNNNNNNNNNNNNNNNNNNNNNNNNNNNNNNNNNNNNNNNNNNNNNNNNNNNNNNNNGUCUAAGUUCAAGAGGGGAGGGGUGAAUUGAGCUUAUAAAAUUUUCGCAAGAACAUACAAUUUUCAGUAUUCCAGAGGCAAAAAGAACAUAUUGUUUUUACAUGAAACAGAUUGAUUCUUCAGAGCAGUCUUGCACAAUUUGAAUUUGUUCAGCUUAGAAUUGUGAUCAGAAAGCUUUAACACAUCAGGAAGAACAGUUUUUACUAAACCCAGAAUUAACAGAUUCAAUUUCAAAAGAACAGAUUUAGUUCUUGACAGAAUUAAACAAAACCAUAAACGAGUGCAGGGAUGAGAAGAAAAGGCACACAAGCUUUUAUACUGGUUCACUCAUACAGAGCUACAUCCAGUCUCACCUUACCCCAAGGUGGAAUUCACUAAAAACAGUACCAAUUUACUUACAAACACAGCAGUUCUUGAACCCUACAAGAACCACACAAUCAAUGCUGAAAAACCCUAUUUCAGCACACCUUGCACUCCAAGAAACCCUAUCAAGGAGUGACUAACACUUACACUUUUACAAACAAGAAUAAAGGAAGGACUACACCUGAAAAGAAGAUGCAAGAACUCAAAACCAGUAGUUCACUUUGCUGCAGAAACUGCACCAGCACCUUCACCAAGAUCAAAGGUUUCCUAGAACAAGCACACUUGAAAAUCCCUUUGGAAAACCUUUUACAAAUCUUUCUCAAUCCUUCUUCUCACACAGAAAGUGUUUGAUCUCUGUCAAAACGUGAUUGCUCAGCUUGCUUUUAUGUGAGGGAGACUUUUCUUUAUAAAGAAACCAGUUUCUAACUUCUUUUCAAAAACCAGUUGAAAAGCAAUUAUGAAAACAACAGAUUUAUUUUUGAACUCAACAGGUUUAUUUUGUGAAAAAAAAAACGCCAACUCAGCUAACUGAAAUAACUGUCUGAGUUGUACCUUUGGUGCCCUAAUUGAAUUUUAGAAAGGCCUUUUCACAGAGAAGAAAUGAACAGAUUCUUUCUCAAUGAAACAGAUUUAUUUUUGUACUGUCUUAAAACCUUUUAAGAGCACUUUAAAAAGCUUUUAAAAAAACUUUUAACAGAGAAGAAAUAAACAGAUUCUUUCUCCAUAAAACAGAUUUAUUUUUGUACUUGAUUUAAAAUCCUUUAAGAGCGCUUUUAAAAGCUUUUCAAAAAUCUUUUAACAGAGAAGAAAUAAACAGAUUCUUUCUCCAUGAAACAGAUUUAUUUUUGUACUGAUGUAAAACUUUUAAGAUCACUUUCAAAAGCUUUUCAAAAAACCAUUUGACCACAUCAUGUGCUUGAUCUAGACUUGGUUAGGCAUCUAGGAUGGGUUAUACAGCAAAAGGCAACCUUCCACAAUACAAGCCUAAUUACAAACCAAUCUAAAAACCUAUUACACUCUUCAAAGCACCCAAGCUAUUUUCUUCAUCAAACACACAUCAAGCCUUGGUAGGGAAGAAGCUUCCUCCAGCUUCAACACUUGGAACAACAAUGUUUGGGUUUGGAAGUUUGGUUGGAGAAGGAAUCUUUUUGAGUGGGAAAAAAAUUUAGUGUGUCUACUGUCUCAGGAAGUUCAGGGUGUGAGCUUGAAUUUGGAGAAGGAAGAUAGUUGGGAGUGGAAGGAAGGGGAGGAGGUAGGGUAUUUGGUUAAAGUUGGGUAUCUCCGUCUAAGGGGGGGUCGAGUAGGGGAGAGAGAGGGGGAGUUUAUGAAGUUCUGGAAGUGUAAGGUUGUACCUUCUGCACAUGUUACGACUUGGAGGGUGUUGGAAAAUAAGUUGGCUAAUAAGGUCAACUUGGAAAAACGUGGGAUCACGGUGGUAAGUUCUGUGUGUAGUCUUUGCGGGGUGGAGGAUAAAUCUCACACUCAUAUGUUCUUUGAGUGUAGUUUUGCGUGGCGAGUGUGGAACCUUUGUUGUGCUUGGUUGGGUGUGCAAAGUGUGUUUCAUAAUGUUCCACUGCUAAAUUUCUCUCAGUUUAGGUUGAGCAACGAGUCUGUUUCGGUAAAUGAGGUUUGGGGAGUGAUUUGGAUCGCGGUCGUCAACGAAAUCUGGAAACAUAGAAACAGAGUAAUAUUUAGAGGGGGUGUAAUAGAUGUAUUGGAAGUAUUCGCUUUGGUGCAACUAAAGGCAUGGGCUUAUGUUACUUCCAAGUCGCAGGAUGCGAUCUUUUCCUUCUCUAAUUGGUGUGCGGAUCCUUUGGUCUGUAUGGAGACGAUGUUUUGAUGUUUUGUUUGGGUAUAAGAGUGAGGGUUGUAGGCGGUUCUUUCUGAAUUUAUUUAAGUAUUUAGAAGUUGGCGGGGUGUGUGUUGUGGAAAAGGUUAAAGGUCAUGUAUUUUGUAUAAGGGUUGGAUCACCCAUAAAGUAACUCACAUUUAUUUAUUGUUUUGCUGAUAAAAAAAACAAUAAAAACGUCUUAAAUUUUUUAGUGUAUAUCCAAAGUUUUUAAGUGUAUUUUAAAAAAUGAAAAGAAAAAAUAAAUGGAAAAACAAUCAUUCUCAGUAAAAAUAUAAAAAAAAAUUAUCUAAAUCACCAACUUUUUACCACCAGAACAAGCAAGCACAACCUCUCAAAAAUUAAAAAUUAAAUAAUUUAUUAAUAUAGUUGAAGUGAAAAUUAGACAAUGAGUAAUUAAAACAAAGUUUAAAAAAUAUACCUGAUUUUCUCAUUAAAUUAUCAUAUGACGUCAUAAACUAUUAAACAAUCAAUAUGAUUAUAAUUAUCCCUUCGUUGUGUUAUUACUUAAUGAGAAAUUUAAAAAAUUAAAAAUUUUAACGUCAAUUAAAAUUUUGAUCAGAAACUAUUUUUUUUUUAAAUAAAAAGUUUACGUCAAUUAAAAUUUCGAAUAGAAACUAAAAACACUUAAAAGGUUUAAGGAUACAAAAACAAAUCGUAAAUAUAGCCCAAUACUAUGUGCCCCCACGAAACCACAUUCUAAUUCUUUGUCUCUUAUCUUAAUUAUGUUUUAAGAACAAAUAUUAAAUUCAUAAUUAAUUAAAGAGUGGAACCAGAUUUUCCACAACAUCACACACAAAAGUAUCUUAAAAAAUAAAGAAGGAUUGUUUCUUCCUCCACCUCCAUAUCUUCUUCUGCCACCUCCAUACACAAUAUGAAAAUACAUUUUUGUCCUUCUUGUGUCAUUCCCAUAGAGUAGUUUCCGGAUUAUGUAAUUCGGAAACUCAUUUGAAAAAAGAUUUUCGGAUUACAUAAUCCAGAAGUUAAAUAAGACUUCCAGAUUAUGUAAUCCGGAGAAUAAUCAUGUAUAUGAAAAAUGGCUUCCGGAUUAUGUAAUCCGGUAGCUAAUUACAAAUUUGAAAAAUGAAUUUCGAAUUACAUAAUCCGGAAUAUUAUAAAAAGGUGUUUUUGGAAAUUUGAAAACUUAUAGAGGUGAGAGAAGAAAGUAUGGAGGUGCAGGAAGAAACAGUCAUAAAGAAGUUGUAGAAAGCAGUUAUGAAGGUUUGCUACACAGUCAUAGCUUGCCAUAAGUGGCCCAAAUAAGAGAGUGAACAAAUGAGCCCAAAUAAGCCCAAAGAGGACAUUCCACAAACGAGUUCAAAUA